rnacentral:rRNA from 1 species
AGAGUUUGAUCCUGGCUCAGGACGAACGCUGGCGGCGCGCCUAACACAUGCAAGUCGAACGGAGCUUAGAGAGCUUGCUUUUUAAGCUUAGUGGCGAACGGGUGAGUAACGCGUGAGUAACCUGCCCUAGAGUGGGGGACAACAGUUGGAAACGACUGCUAAUACCGCAUAAGCCCACGGUACCGCAUGGCACUGAGGGAAAAGGAUUUAUUCGCUUUAGGAUGGACUCGCGUCCAAUUAGCUAGUUGGUGAGGUAACGGCCCACCAAGGCGACGAUUGGUAGCCGGACUGAGAGGUUGAACGGCCACAUUGGGACUGAGACACGGCCCAGACUCCUACGGGAGGCAGCAGUGGGGGAUAUUGCACAAUGGGGGAAACCCUGAUGCAGCGACGCCGCGUGGAGGAAGAAGGUUUUCGGAUUGUAAACUCCUGUCGUUAGGGACGAUAAUGACGGUACCUAACAAGAAAGCACCGGCUAACUACGUGCCAGCAGCCGCGGUAAAACGUAGGGUGCAAGCGUUGUCCGGAAUUACUGGGUGUAAAGGGAGCGCAGGCGGGAAGACAAGUUGGAAGUGAAAACCAUGGGCUCAACCCAUGAAUUGCUUUCAAAACUGUUUUUCUUGAGUAGUGCAGAGGUAGAUGGAAUUCCCGGUGUAGCGGUGGAAUGCGUAGAUAUCGGGAGGAACACCAGUGGCGAAGGCGGUCUACUGGGCACCAACUGACGCUGAGGCUCGAAAGCAUGGGUAGCAAACAGGAUUAGAUACCCUGGUAGUCCAUGCCGUAAACGAUGAUUACUAGGUGUUGGGGGAUUGACCCCCUCAGUGCCGCAGUUAACACAAUAAGUAAUCCACCUGGGGAGUACGACCGCAAGGUUGAAACUCAAAGGAAUUGACGGGGGCCC